rnacentral:tRNA from 3 species
UGUAAAAUAAGCUAAUUUUGAAGCUAUUGGGCUCAUACCUCAAAAAUGAAUUUAAUUCUUUUACAU